ensembl:lncRNA
CAUGAGUAAAUAUAUGCGGUUUAAUUAAAGCAGCAGAGGGACGACAUGCGCGUCGAUGUACCUACUUUCUACUUUUUCUUCAUUUGUCUUUACAUCCUGUUCAUCAUGAGAACAUGUUAAUGGAUUCUGACAUGAGCGGCGUCUGUCUGCCUGAGUCCUUUAGUUGUUUGUAGCCUUUCAAGUCAUUGUUUGCUCGUUCCGUUGAUCUAAAUUGAUCCUGUGUGUGUGUGUGUGUGUGUGUGUGUGUGUGUGUGUGUGUGUGUGUUAAAUCAUCAUUGUACAUCAUUUUCUUCCCCCGAGAUUAAACCUUUCUCUUUAAGAUAAAGAAUUUAAGUCCUAAAACCUCAAGAUUUUUCUAAUAAACAUUUCAGUGCUGCAUCGACCGCGUUCGUUUCUGUUCUGUAUUGCAGGAAAUGCAGAAGAGCUUUGAUGAGAAGAACAUUGCGAUGCUGCAGGAAGCCAUCGGGAAGAUGCACAUGGAGGUGAGCGUGUCCGCUGAAUAAGAGGAGGAUGCAUGCUGAUCGGAUCCGAUUACGUUCACUUGAUUCUUUGUGUUGAACUCGUGUCGCUCUGUUUGUCCUUUACGGGAGGGAAAAUACUACCUGCAGAGGUGCAUCGACUCCGGACUGUGGGUCCCUGAGUCAGUGGGGGGGGGGGUGACGAAGUAGAAGCAGAUGAAGGAGACGAUUAAUAAAAGAGUGAACAUGUUAGUCGACAAAGUAACGCUUUAAACGUAUUUAAUAAGCAUAUGAUCUAAACCAGCGUGUGGUAUAAAACGCGUUAAAUGGGAGAAAAGCUUAUGAAGUUUUCAAACAAAAGCACCUCAACUUUUUUUUAUUUUUCAAUUGAAGCUACUUUGGUGCCACCAAGGAAACAAAAUGAUGAAAACCCACUUAGUCACUCUGAAUAUCACGUCGUUAGAAACCUGAUUUGAUAUGAAUCAUUAAUUAAUUCAAACAAGCUCUCACUUUAGAGCCGUCGCAAAAGCAGCCACUUCUUCAGAUUUUUAUUUUAGUUCUUUGGCAUUUGACGAUCUUGACAUCCCAGUUGGCCGCUUGGUCUUCAUUCAAUUUAUUUAUUUAUAUAAAUCCGUCUUCCUUCUCUUCACACCUUUUUCACAAUGAAGUCUGCAGCUUACGGGAUUAAAACACCUUGGACACAAAAAACAAAAGAUGCACCCAAAAACAAAUCAUCCAAACGAUCUGCUUUCUGUGGCAGUUCCUUCUGUGGUCAACGGCGCCACCUUGAGGCCGUAGGCCGCAUCAGAGGCCUGGACCAUGAACCUUUGACCACCGUCUAUUAUGCUGUGCAAACUACAAAAACUUAUUACUUAUCAACUUUUGUAAAAAAUAAAUAAAAAUAAAAUAGAAGUCCAAUGUUUUUGAUCUUUUGUGUAGAAAAAUAAAGUUGUGUUGUAACGAUCACGUCUUUGUAACUUAAACACAUGAAUGCUGACGUCCUCCUCAGGAAAUAAUUAUAGAUUUAAUUAUAAGCUCCACACGGCUACACUAUGAAUGUAUUUCUUGUUUUAGUAAGCGUGAGCUGAAUAACGUUGACAUGAGUCAGUCCAAGUAAAAUACUUUGUCUAAUUGUUUCUUUGUCCUUUUAUUGGUUUUAUUUUGUAUUUAAAGAACACAUUUGUGUUUGUGCAAUAAACCUUUUGUGUUGUCUACAAA